CCGAAAGGAGGAUUAAUACACCGUAAAAUAACGAGAUGGCAUCAUCUUGUUAUUAUAGCUCCGGCGGUUUUGGAUGGGCGUGCGCCUGAUUAGGUAGUUGGCGGGGUAACGGCCCACCAAGCCUACGAUCAGUAACUGGUGUGAGAGCACGACCAGUCACACGGGCACUGAGACACGGGCCCGACUCCUACGGGAGGCAGCAGUAAGGAAUAUUGGUCAAUGGACGCAAGUCUGAACCAGCCAUGCCGCGUGAAGGAUGAAGGUCCUCUGGAUUGUAAACUUCUUUUAUAGGGGACGAAAAAAGGGAAUUCUUUCUCGUCUGACGGUACCCUAGGAAUAAGCACCGGCUAACUCCGUG
rnacentral:rRNA from 1 species